GAUGAACGCUGGCGGCGUGCCUAAUACAUGCAAGUCGAGCGAACGGACGAGAAUUUUGCUUCUCUGAUGUUAGCGGCGGACGGGUGAGUAACACGUGGAUAACCUACCUAUAAGACUGGGAUAACUUCGGGAAACCGGAGCUAAUACCGGAUAAUAUUUUGAACCGCAUGGUUCAAAAGUGAAAGACGGUCUUGCUGUCACUUAUAUAUGGAUCCGCGCUGCAUUAGCUAGUUGGUAAGGUAACGGCUUACCAAGGCAACGAUGCAUAGCCGACCUGAGAGGGUGAUCGGCCACACUGGAACUGAGACACGGUCCAGACUCCUACGGGAGGCAGCAGUAGGGAAUCUUCCGCAAUGGGCGAAAGCCUGACGGAGCAACGCCGCGUGAGUGAUGAAGGUCUUCGGAUCGUAAAACUCUGUUAUUAGGGAAGAACAUAUGUGUAAGUAACUGUGCACAUCUUGACGGUACCUAAUCAGAAAGCCACGGCUAACUACGUG
rnacentral:rRNA from 1 species